UACGAAGGGUGCAAGCGUUACUCGGAAUUACUGGGCGUAAAGCGUGCGUAGGUGGUUUGUUAAGUCUGAUGUGAAAGCCCUGGGCUCAACCUGGGAAUUGCAUUGGAUACUGGCAGGCUAGAGUGCGGUAGAGGGUAGUGGAAUUCCCGGUGUAGCAGUGAAAUGCGUAGAGAUCGGGAGGAACAUCUGUGGCGAAGGCGACUACCUGGACCAGCACUGACACUGAG
rnacentral:rRNA from 1 species